rnacentral:misc_RNA from 1 species
UACGGAGGGGACAAGUGUUACUCGUCUUGAUUGGGCGUAAAGGGUCCGUAGACGGCUCGGUCAAUCUAGCUGCAAAACAAUUAGUUUCUAGAUAUUGCCAAGCUUGAGUCCUGGGGAAGAUGGAAGUACUUUUAGUGGAGGGGUGAAAUCCUUAGAUACUGGGGGGACUAACGACAGGCGAAAGCGUCCAUCUAUACAGGUGACUGACGUUGAGGGACGAAAGCGUGGGGAGCGAACAGG